AUGGAAAGAGUUGUUUCCACAUCGGAAAUUUCAGUUAAUAGUCUUCCAGUUGACCUUUCGCAUCGCUCACAAAAGAAAAGGGCCAGAGUUUGGGAGCAUAUUGAUUCAGAAUCUAUUGAUGGAAAAGAAAAGGCAGUCUGCAAAUAUUGCAAGCUAAAAUUAUCUUCUGAACCUGGCCAGGGAACAAAUCAUCUCAAUAGGCAUAUUGGAAUGUAUUGCCCAAGCAUUCCAAGUGGAGAGAGGGAUAGAUUCUUACUGCACUGGAAGCGCCCUUCUUCUGAUAGUGAUCAACCCAUAUUUGACCCUCAUGUUUGCCGUCUUCUAAUUGCCAAGUUCUUUGUUAGUGCUGAAAUUCCAUUUCGGAAAGCCGAUGAUCCAAAUUGGAAAAAAUUGCUAAACUACAUUCACCCAUCUUUUCUUGUGCAAAGAAUGGGCCUGAAAACUAAGUCUGGACUGGUAGUUGAUGUCCCACACCGUUGGAAUGCUACUUAUGAUAUGAUACAUGAUUCAUUGGCGUACAAAGCUGCUAUCAAUAUAUAUGCCACUGAACAACACCAUGAAGCUCCAAGUGAUUCAGAUUGGGGUAAAGCUGAGUCUCUCCAUGGAUUUUUGCAAGCCUUCAGUGAUGCUACCAAGACAUUUUCAGCAGAUAGACAUCCAACAUCCCAUCUCUUUUUGAAG
rnacentral:lncRNA from 1 species